rnacentral:lncRNA from 10 species
GGAUCUGUUCAUCAACUCACCACCUUUGUCCAGCCCCAUGACCUGGUCAAACCUCAGGCUAUCAAUGUGGUACAGCGGCUCCAGUACCCAGUAAAACCCAAAAUACAACAAAGGAGAACAGAAGAUGCAUGUAAUCUCGAUGUUUGAACGUUUGAAUGAUUGACUGAAAAGAAGACACAAACAAUUUCAAACAGUGUCUCUGGUACCAGGACAAACCAGGAACAUUCUGAUCCUAGAGUUGUUUAAACAAAGACUGGAGAGUACUGCCUUCUUUGGCGUACCAGAACCCACAGUAAAGUGGUAAAUUACUGUGUAACCAGAUGGGACCUUCAAGUCCAACACUAUCAAAUUAUAAAGAAGAAUUUCAGUAGCAGCUCGGAUUACAACCUCACUCACUCCACUGAGCCACUCUGAGUCUGUUGUCGUCUGGAUGAUUAUAGCACAAGUGAAACAGAAGACUAAGAGAUUUGAAGGCGUUAAUGCUGGAAAUAGUGAUGGAUAGUCACUAUAUUUCUGAGCUAGGGAAGAAAAUGAGGCCAGAAGAUAAUUUGGAAACCAGGAGAACUGAGACAAGGUGGGUUUAAAUCAAGUUUAGCUUAAAGCUGCCUUCUCACAUGUUUAAGUUUGGCCUACAGGUUUUUCUGUACAUCAUGAACUGUAAAAAGUGGAGGUAUACAGCCCACAUCCGUGCCAAUCA